rnacentral:rRNA from 1 species
AUGGAUGGAAGGCUGCUGCUGGUCACACAUGUUCUCUCCGCCAUGGUGGUGUUCCAGAUGAUGGUGCUCGACAUGCCGGCUUGGCUCAGAAAACUGAUAGACAAGAUUCGGAGAGGUUUCUUAUGGGAAGGGAAAGAGCUCGCAAGUCGAGGUAAAUGCCUUGUUAGUUGGAAGGUGGUUUGCUGGCCGACAUGUUUCGGAGGUCUAGGGAUACAGGACCUCACUGCUAAAAGUACGGCGCUGCGCAUGAGGUGGCUGUGGUUAUCAUGGACGGAUACAAACAGAGCAUGGCAUGGGCUG